rnacentral:rRNA from 1 species
UACGGAGGGAGCUAGCGUUGUUCGGAAUCACUGGGCGUAAAGCGCACGUAGGCGGCUAUUCAAGUCGGGGGUGAAAGCCCGGGGCUCAACCCCGGAACUGCCCUCGAAACUAGAUGGCUAGAAUCUUGGAGAGGCGAGUGGAAUUCCGAGUGUAGAGGUGAAAUUCGUAGAUAUUCGGAAGAACACCAGUGGCGAAGGCGACUGACUGGACAAGUAUUGACGCUGAGGUGCGAAAGCGUGGGGAGCAAACAGG